AGAGGCCUCCUUACCAACCCGAGGAGUCAAGAAUGAGAUCUCACGUCGGAGGCAGUGAUGAGAUUUGGCAAAGGGCUCUGCCUGCGUAUUCAUUUGAGAAAAUGAGGAAAUGCAACUGGGAGCGAGAAACAUGACUAAGGCUGUUCUCUACUCGUAUGGGUGGUUUUCGGAGCAGUGUCUCCCAGGCCAACCGGGUCACUCGAAAGAGGACAGCCGGGGGAGUCCUGGAAGUUGUACCCUCUCCAGUCCCGAAGAGGAACCAAGUCAGAAAUUUCAGUAGAAAGGGAGAUAGACUCCGGGAUAACCUGUCGGGCUGUCAGAGUCUGGUUUUCACCUGGAAAGUUCGAGUCUCACCGGAGAGUCGCCCUGGUCAGAGGCUCUCAGUCACCCACCAGGUUAUUCCCGGUUCCACACACCCACGGUCUCCUCCUUGAACUGAGAAUGAAGAUUCAGCACGCCGCAGAGGGAGGCGAGAGAGUACAGAGGAAGGGGGAGGGGCCGCGGCUCUCACCCGGAAGCUGGAUCCUGUGCUCCCCUCCUCACACGGGGCACCAAAAUGUUAGGAAAAGAGCACAGAACAGAGAUGACGCAGGGUAUGAAUCUACAGCCAGACCAAAUUUAUUCGAAGAAAAUAAAUCCACAGAGAUUUGGAAGCCCGUGGGCCAGACCUGAAGAACCAGUAUGGAAAAGUUCAUCUCCUACCCCCCACCCCCAACCCCGGUCCACCUAAGACAUAAAAGGGCCCAGCAGGCUGGAGUCCGGGCCUCUGCCAGGAGUUUGCUCUGUGAGUCUGAUGGCAAUUGGUCAACCCCUGCGGAUUUAUUUUCUCUGAAUAAAUUCGGUCUGGCGCCAA